AUUCAAUCUUGAGUCAUGAAAAGCCAACCUUGAGCCACAAAAAGUCAACCUUGAGCCAAGCAGAGUGGAGAGUCAUACUGGCCAUUCCUGGGACCAUCAAAAAUGGCAGAGGUCACACAAAAGGCAAAACCUUUAAGAGGUGUUUUAAACAUCGUAUGGGCCAAAGAGAAUCUGGAUUUCCUAUUGCAGUCAGCUGUAACACACGUGUGACAAAUUGGGCUGUGAGGACAAGGCAGUGAGUAGAGACGACAGCAGUCCUUAUGAGAUCAAGCUCUAAGGUAUCCUAGAUACAUUUGGAGAAUUCACCUGAGCUACAGGAUGUGAAAAGUUGCUAAAACCGCUGUGAGAUUCUGGCUAAGAAAAUUUCAUGAGAAGUUUUACAGAAAAAUGUGAACAGAAGAAAGAACUAGAUAUAAAUUUGAAUGUUUUGAGAAGAAUGCAAAGAAGAAGGGAAGAGUGAGCCUCUCUUUUCCCAUCGUUACCCUCCAUUGUCCUCUUGACACCCUGCUUUUGCAGACAGAGAGUUUGAGACCCUCUCCCAGGAGCCAAGGAGAGGGGAACAGCUGGCUUCACAUCAUCUUUCUAUUCAACAAGACACAAAAAGCUGAAGCCAGGAUGAUAGAAAAGCAACAAAGAAGACACGGUCCUUACUCAUUUCCCUUCCCGCUUCAGAGCAAAUAUGGUGCCUGGUGUUCGAAGGGAGAACUUGUGGGCAGAGCAGGAAGCGCAUGAAACCAGGAACUUAUGAUGAAAGGAGGCAAGGAAUAUGAAGAUGGGGAGAAUAUCUCAGGAGCGGGGCACUCUUUCUGUUUAAACCAUAUGUACUCAUCUGCAAGCAUACAUCUGGAAUC
rnacentral:lncRNA from 1 species